CUUGCUAGUUGCUGACGAGUGGCGGACGGGUGAGUAACGCGUAGGAAUCUACCGAGUAGUGGGGGACAACAGUUGGAAACGACUGCUAAUACCGCAUAAUCCCUGAGGGGGAAAGGAGGGGAUCUGUUUACAGACCUUUCGCUAUUUGAUGAGCCUGCGUGAGAUUAGCUAGUUGGUGAGGUAAUGGCUCACCAAGGCGACGAUCUCUAGCUGGUCUGAGAGGAUGAUCAGCCACACUGGAACUGAGACACGGCCCAAACUCCUACGGGAGGCAGCAGUGGGGAAUCUUGCACAAUGGGGGAAACCCUGAUGCAGCGAUGCCGCGU
rnacentral:rRNA from 1 species